UACGAAGGGACCUAGCGUAGUUCGGAAUUACUGGGCUUAAAGAGCUCGUAGGUGGUUAAAAAAGUUGGUGGUGAAAUCCCAAGGCUUAACCUUGGAACUGCCAUCAAAACUUUUUGACUAGAGUAUGAUAGAGGUAAGUGGAAUUUCUAGUGUAGAGGUGAAAUUCGUAGAUAUUAGAAAGAACACCAAUUGCGAAGGCAACUUUCUGGAUCAUUACUGACACUGAGGAGCGAAAGCAUGGGUAGCGAAGAGG
rnacentral:rRNA from 1 species